rnacentral:rRNA from 1 species
UAUUCCGGAUAACGCAUAUUUGCUGGAAUGCUUUAUGCGUCAAAAGGAUUCGUCUGCCCAAGGAUGGGUCUGCGGCCUAUCAGGUAGUAGUGGGUGUAAUGUACCUACUAGCCAGCGACGGGUACGGGUUGUGAGAGCAAGAGCCCGGAGAUGGAUUCUGAGACAUGAAUCCAGGCCCUACGGGGCGCAGCAGGCGCGAAAACUUUACAAUGCGGGAAACCGUGAUAAGGGGACACCGAGUGCCAGCAUCAUAUGCUGGCUGUCCGGAUGUGUAAAAUACAUCCGUUAGCAAGGGCCGGGCAAGACCGGUGCCAGCCGCCGCGGUAACACCGGCGGCCCGAGUGGUGAUCGUGAUUAUUGGGUCUAAAGGGUCCGUAGCCGGUUUGGUCAGUCCUCCGGGAAAUCUGAUAGCUCAACUAUUAGGCUUUCGGGGGAUACUGCCAGACUUGGAACCGGGAGAGGUAAGAGGUACUACAGGGGUAGGAGUGAAAUCUUGUAAUCCCUGUGGGACCACCUGUGGCGAAGGCGUCUUACCAGAACGGGUUCGACGGUGAGGGACGAAAGCUGGGGGCACGAACCGGAUUAGAUACCCGGGUAGUCCCAGCCGUAAACGAUGCUCGCUAGGUGUCAGGCAUGGCGCGACCGUGUCUGGUGCCGCAGGGAAGCCGUGAAGCGAGCCACCUGGGAAGUACGGCCGCAAGGCUGAAACUUAAAGGAAUUGGCGGGGGAGCACAACAACGGGUGGAGCCUGCGGUUUAAUUGGACUCAACGCCGGACAACUCACCGGGGGCGACAGCAAUAUGUAGGCCAAGCUGAAGACUUUGCCUGAAUCGCUGAGAGGAGGUGCAUGGCCGUCGCCAGUUCGUACUGUGAAGCAUCCUGUUAAGUCAGGCAACGAGCGAGACCCGUGCCCACUGUUACCAGCAUGUCCUCCGGGACGAUGGGUACUCUGUGGACCGCCGAUGUUAAAUCGGAGGAAGGUGCGGGCCACGGUAGGUCAGUAUGCCCCGAAUCUCCCGGGCUACACGCGGGCUACAAUGGAUGGGACAAUGGGUCCCUCCCCUGAAAAGGGCUGGUAAUCUCACAAACCCAUUCGUAGUUCGGAUCGAGGGCUGUAACUCGCCCUCGUGAAGCUGGAAUCC